rnacentral:rRNA from 1 species
GAUGAACGCUAGCUACAGGCUUAACACAUGCAAGUCGAGGGGUAACGAGAGGGAAGCUUGCUUUCCUUGUCGACGACCGGCGCACGGGUGAGUAACGCGUAUCCAACCUGCCCCCAACUAAGGAAUAACCUUGCGAAAGUAAGACUAAUACCUUAUAAUUUCCUCAGAUGACAUCUGACGAGGAAUAAAGAUUUAUCGGUUGUGGAUGGGGAUGCGUCUGAUUAGCUUGUUGGCGGGGUAACGGCCCACCAAGGCAACGAUCAGUAGGGGUUCUGAGAGGAAGGUACCCCACAUUGGAACUGAGACACGGUCCAAACUCCUACGGGAGGCAGCAGUGAGGAAUAUUGGUCAAUGGGCGGAAGCCUGAACCAGCCAAGUAGCGUGCAGGAUGACGGCCCUAUGGGUUGUAAUCUGCUUUUAUACAGGAAUAAAGUUAGCCACGUGUGGUUAUUUGUAGGUACUGUAUGAAUAAGGACCGGCUAAUUCCGUGCCAGCCGCCGCAGUAA